UACGUAGGGUGCAAGCGUUGUCCGGAAUUAUUGGGCGUAAAGAGCUUGUAGGCGGUUUGUCGCGUCUGCUGUGAAAUUUCGGGGCUCAACCCCGAACUUGCAGUGGGUACGGGCAGACUAGAGUGUGGUAGGGGAGACUGGAAUUCCUGGUGUAGCGGUGAAAUGCGUAGAUAUCCGGAGGAACACCGGUGGCGAAGGCGGCUUCCUGGACCGAUUACUGACGCUGAGGCGCGAAAUGCUAGGGGAGCAAAGCGGG
rnacentral:rRNA from 1 species